GCACAAGCGGUGGAGCAUGUGGUUUAAUUCGAUGCAACGCGAAGAACCUUACCUGGGCUUGACAUCCCAAGAAUCCCUGGAAACAGGGAGUGCCCUUCGGGAGCUUGGAGACAGGUGCUGCAUGGCUGUCGUCAGCUCGUGUCGUGAGAUGUUGGGUUAAGUCCCGCAACGAGCGCAACCCUUGCCUUUAGUUGCCAUCAUUCAGUUGGGCACUCUAGAGGGACUGCCGGUGUCAAACCGGAGGAAGGUGGGAUGACGUCAAGUCCUCAUGGCCUUUAUGCCCAGGGCUACACACGUGCUACAAUGGGCGGUACAAAGAGCAGCGAGCUCGCGAGAGUAAGCAAAUCUCAAAAAGCCGUCCUCAGUUCGGAUUGGAGUCUGCAACUCGACUCCAUGAAGUUGGAAUCGCUAGUAAUCGCGGAUCAGCAUGCCGCGGUGAAUACGUUCUCGGGCCUU
rnacentral:rRNA from 1 species